AUGAGUGGCAGACGGGUGAGUAACGCGUGGGAAUCUACCCAUCCCCUACGGGAUAGCUCCGGGAAACUGGAAUUAAUACCGUAUACGUCCUUCGGGAGAAAGAUUUAUCGGGGAUGGAUGAGCCCGCGUUGGAUUAGCUAGUUGGUGGGGUAAAGGCCUACCAAGGCGACGAUCCAUAGCUGGUCUAAGAGGAUGAUCAGCCACAUUGGGACUGAGACACGGCCCAAACUCCUACGGGAGGCAGCAGUGGGGAAUAUUGGACAAUGGGCGCAAGCCUGAUCCAGCCAUGCCGCGUGAGUGAUGAAGGCCCUAGGGUUGUAAAGCUCUUUCAGUGGGGACGAUAAUGACGGUACCCACAGAAGAAGCCCCGGCUAACUUCGUGCCAGCAGCCGCGGUAAUACGAAGGGGGCUAGCGUUGUUCGGAAUUACUGGGCGUAAAGCGCACGUAGGCGGAAAUUUAAGUCAGGGGUGAAAUCCCGGGGCUCAACCCCGGAACUGCCUUUGAUACUGGGUUUCUUGAGUUCGGAAGAGGUAAGUGGAAUUGCGAGUGUAGAGGUGAAAUUCGUAGAUAUUCGCAGGAACACCAGUGGCGAAGGCGGCUUAC
rnacentral:rRNA from 1 species